rnacentral:rRNA from 1 species
UACGUAGGGCGCAAGCGUUAUCCGGAAUUAUUGGGCGUAAAGAGCUCGUAGGCGGUUUGUCGCGUCUGCCGUGAAAGUCCGGGGCUCAACUCCGGAUCUGCGGUGGGUACGGGCAGACUAGAGUGAUGUAGGGGAGGCUGGAAUUCCUGGUGUAGCGGUGAAAUGCGCAGAUAUCAGGAGGAACACCGAUGGCGAAGGCAGAUCUCUGGGCCGUAACUGACGCUGAGGAGCGAAAGCAUGGGGAGCGAACAGG